rnacentral:rRNA from 1 species
CGUUCGAUCCUAUUUUGUUGGUUUCUAGGAUUGACGUAAUGAUUAAUAGGGAUAGUUAGGGGCAUUAGUAUUCAAUUGUCAGAGGUGAAAUUCUUGGAUUUAUUGAAGACUAACUACUGUGAAAGCAUUUGCCAAGGAUGUUUUCAUUAAUCAAGAACGAAAGUUAGGGGAUCGAAGACGAUCAGAUACCGUUGUAGUCUUAACCAUAAACUAUGCCGACUAGGGAUCGGAUGAUGUUGAUUUUUUAAUGACUCAUUCGACGCCUUACGGGAAACCAAAGUGUUUGGGUUCCGGGGGGAGUAUGGUCGCAAGGCUGAAACUUAAAGGAAUUGACGGAAGGGCACCACCACCAGGGGUAGAGCCUGCAGCUUAAUUUGACUCAACACGGGAAAACUCACCAGGUCCAGA